rnacentral:sRNA from 1 species
GGUCACUCCCUGCACCUGUCCUCAGUCCCUGAGGCCAGGGACAGCCCACAGUCCCUCACAGAUGAGUCCUGCUCGGAGAAGGCAGCCCCCCACAAGACUGAGGGCCUGGAGGAGGCUGACACUGGGGCCUCUGGGUGCCAAUCCCAUCCGGAAGAGCAGCCGACCAGCAUCUUGCCUUCUGGACACAGCACCCUGGCUGAGCUCUGCCCGCCUGGAGGCUCCCACAGGAUGGCCCUGGGGACUGCUGCUGCACUCGGGUCGAAUGUCAUCAGGAAUGAGCAGCUGCCCCUGCAGUACUUGGCCGAUGUGGACACCUCUGAUGAGGAAAGCAUCCGGGCUCACGUGAUGGCCUCCCACCAUUCCAAGCGGAGAGGCCGGGCGUCUUCUGAGAGUCAGAUCUUUGAGCUGAAUAAGCGUAUUUCAGCUGUGGAAUGCCUGCUGACCUACCUGGAGAACACAGUUGUGCCUCCCUUGGCCAAGGCUGAACGUCACUCCCGAUCUUUCCACCGAGGGCCUCUGUGAUUUGGGGGCUUUGUCAGGAAAGUGGAGCCUCAUGGAAAAGCAUACUGGCUAAAACACGUGGCUUCUUCAUCGACUCAAUCUAAUCAUCCCCUUGGUGUUCGUCUGUGAGACCCCAGGCAGCCAGCCCUGUCGAUCUGUCUCAAUAGUCUUCGUCCAAAUAGAAAAUUAAAUGAUCAUGUGCAAUA